rnacentral:rRNA from 1 species
AUUGAACGCUGGCGGCAGGCCUAACACAUGCAAGUCGAGCGGAUGAGUGGAGCUCGCUCCAUGAUUCAGCGGCGGACGGGUGAGUAAUGCCUAGGAAUCUGCCUGGUAGUGGGGGACAACGGUUCGAAAGGAACGCUAAUACCGCAUACGUCCUACGGGAGAAAGCAGGGGACCUUCGGGCCUUGCGCUAUCAGAUGAGCCUAGGUCGGAUUAGCUAGUAGGUGAGGUAAUGGCUCACCUAGGCGACGAUCCGUAACUGGUCUGAGAGGAUGAUCAGUCACACUGGAACUGAGACACGGUCCAGACUCCUACGGGAGGCAGCAGUGGGGAAUAUUGGACAAUGGGCGAAAGCCUGAUCCAGCCAUGCCGCGUGUGUGAAGAAGGUCUUCGGAUUGUAAAGCACUUUAAGUUGGGAGGAAGGGCAGUAAGUUAAUACCUUGCUGUUUUGACGUUACCAACAAAAUAAGCACCGGCUAACUUCGUGCCAGCCGCCGCAGUAAGAC